CAUCAGUUCACCACUCACGAGUGCUGGGGGUCAUCGUGGUCCCGCCUCCAUCUCACUGUCCUUGUAACAUACAGGGAUCUGUGCAGGGAUCAAACUGGUGUAAAUCAGCCAUGAGACAGAAGUGACCUGCAGCUCGCUGUGUGGCGGCUUCUGUCACGGCGGCAGGAUGAAGUAUCUGAGAUUGCUUGUGUGUGUUUGGUCUCUCCUCAUUCAGCCCUCAGAUGAGAGUCGCUGUGAAAAACAUUUUGAGUGUGAGGUGUCUGCUGUCUACUCCUAUGGAUUCUCCCCAGUGAUGGUGUCCGUCUACGACCCGCUCAGCCGUACAAGGAUCUACCCACUUAUGGCUCAGCGCUGGUUUCUGUAUCAUUACAUCAGAAUAAACAUUAGAAGAUGCCCACCUCCAACACCUCCUGCACCUCCAACACCUCCUGCGCCUCCAACAUGUUCUCCACCUCCAACUAUUACAUCUACUUCAACUCCAAUUACGACCACCAGAUCUACACCUCCUACGACAUCUACAAGUCCAACUACGACCCCUAGAUCCACAACUCCAACAUCUGCAAGUCCAACUACGACCCCUAGAUCCACAACUCCAACAUCUGCAAGUCCAACUACGACCCCUAGAUCCACAACUCCAACCACGACAUCUACAAGUCCAACUACGACCGCUAGAUCCACAGCUCCAACUGUAAAACCCAGCCCAACUCCAGGGCGUGGUGAUAAUGAUGUGUGAGCCACUUCCUGAAUUGGAGGUGCCGCAUCUGUGGAGAAACACAUGCCUGUGGUUGAUGUCAGAUGAUUUGUGUCUUUAUUUUGUUUGCAAUUAUGUGUCAUCAACAUAGCUGCAGAUAUUAAAGUCUGACCAUAAAACCCAC
rnacentral:lncRNA from 1 species